rnacentral:rRNA from 1 species
GACGAACGCUGGCGGCGUGCCUAAUACAUGCAAGUCGAACGCAGUGGGGACGGGUGAGUAACACGUGGGUAACCUCCCAUCAGAGGGGAUAACACUUGGAAACAGGUGCUAAACCGAUACUGAUGGAUGGACCCUCGGUGCAUUGGCUAGUUGGUGAGGUAACGGCUCACCAAGGCCACGAUGCAUAGCCGACCUGAGGGGGGGAUCGGCAACACGGGGACGGAGAAACGGCCCAGACUCCUACGGGAGGCAGAGUUAGGAAAUCUUCGGCAAUGGACGAAAGUCUGACCGAGCAACGCGGCGUGAGUGAAGAGGGUUUUCGGAUCGUAAGACUCUGUUGUUAGGGAAGCGGUAUCUAACCAGAAAGCCACGGCUAACUACGUGCCAGCAGCCGCGGUAAUAC